rnacentral:sRNA from 1 species
UAUUCUGCCCCAUGGGGAAGGAUGAGAAGCUUCGACUAAGGUUCGACUCGAGCGCCAGCGAGAGAACGUUGCCACAGGCAACGGCCCGAAGGGCGAGGCGCUUUAGCGCCGAGUAAUCCUUCCCCCACCACUG